AUAAACGCUGGCGGCGCACAUAAGACAUGCAAGUUGAACGGACUUAAUCGAAAUAUUUCUAUUUUGAAGCGGUUAGUGGCGGACUGGUGAGUAACGCGUAAGGAACCUGCCUAUUAGAGGGGAAUAACAGUGAGAAAUCAUUGCUAAUACCGCAUAUGCCAUAGAUAUCACAUGAUAACAGUGGGAAAGGAGCAAUCCGCUAAUAGAUGGCCUUGCGUCUGAUUAGAUAGUUGGUGGGGUAACGGCCUACCAAGUCGACGAUCAGUAGCCGGACUGAGAGGUUGAACGGCCACAUUGGGACUGAGAUACGGCCCAGACUCCUACGGGAGGCAGCAGUCGGGAAUAUUGCGCAAUGGAGGAAACUCUGACGCAGUGACGCCGCGUAUAGGAAGAAGGUUUUCGGAUUGUAAACUAUUGUCGUUAGGGAAGAGAAAGGACAGUACCUAAGGAGGAAGCUCCGGCUAACUACGUG
rnacentral:rRNA from 1 species